rnacentral:lncRNA from 1 species
GAUUAGGAUAGCUUGUGUUUCAAGCUAACUCCAAGCUUAAACCAACAUUCUCCCCCUUAAGCUUGAUUUCAUUUUCACACAUGACUUGGACACCAAUAAGUUCCCUCAUCUCCUUGAAUCGAACUCGGCUAAGCGACUUUGUGAGUAUAUCGGCUCUUUGUUCAGUUCCCGGAACAUGUUCUACUUCAACUUGAUCAUUCUCA